rnacentral:rRNA from 1 species
AUUGAACGCUGGCGGCAGGCCUAACACAUGCAAGUCGAACGGUAACAGGAAGCAGCUUGCUGCUUUGCUGACGAGUGGCGGACGGGUGAGUAAUGUCUGGGAAACUGCCCGAUGGAGGGGGAUAACUACUGGAAACGGUAGCUAAUACCGCAUAACGUCGCAAGACCAAAGAGGGGGACCUUAGGGCCUCUUGCCAUCGGAUGUGCCCAGAUGGGAUUAGCUAGUAGGUGGGGUAACGGCUCACCUAGGCGACGAUCCCUAGCUGGUCUGAGAGGAUGACCAGCCACACUGGAACUGAGACACGGUCCAGACUCCUACGGGAGGCAGCAGUGGGGAAUAUUGCACAAUGGGCGCAAGCCUGAUGCAGCCAUGCCGCGUGUAUGAAGAAGGCCUUCGGGUUGUAAAGUACUUUCAGCGGGGAGGAAGGGAGUAAAGUUAAUACCUUUGCUCAUUAACGUUACCCGCAGAAGAAGCACCGGCUAACUCCGUG